rnacentral:lncRNA from 1 species
CACCUCUAAAAGCUUUCCUGAAUCUCUUUUCUGUUGUUUUCCUUCCACCCAGGACUGAGUUAUCCUGCUACUGACUGAAAGGAGAAAGAACUGCAAGUAAAUGCCCAGGCAGUGUCUUCAGCGACAUUUCCACACGUCCUAGGGGACAGCCAAGACAUUUGGCUAUUUCAUAGUGAGUCCAUCUGUUACAAGUCAUGACUGGGAUCCAGUUAUCUCUGGGCUCUCCUCUUCACAUUUCCAGUAAGGGACCAUGUCUGGCUCUAGAGGUCAAUUAAUUAAUCAAUUAAUUAAUUUUAUUCUCAUCCUAGGAAGUGUUAUCCUGCUGUUCUGAGAAGCCUGUAAGACUCUGUAGGGGUGGACGGUACUGUUUAUGAAAUAUGUACUAUUGUGAUUGUGACAUUAGCCUGUAACUUUUGCUCAUGACUGAUUUGGAAGGGACCUCACUAUGCCACUCUUCUGUGUUGUGCCCACUACCUCUUUAUUUUACAUUGAGGCUAAAAGUCUUUGGAGUGAAGAUCAUCUUUGUGUCCUGCUUUUCCACAGACUAGGGGAAGGGGAUAGAAACUGAUUUUGCAUUACACAAAUGAAAUCACCCACUGGAUUCCUGAGUUGCAGAAACAUUGGAAGCAAAAACAAAGGAAUAUGCAACCAAAGACGUUUUUUCUUGGAAAAACCUACUGAACAGAGACAUGUAUAUGAAUCCCUUAAGCACAUUUAUUCCUUUAUUAAAUUCAUUUGCAUAAGAUUGGUCCCCCCUCAUUACUAAGUUGGUACAUUUUUUUCCUAUAUACUCAAUAUUUGAGAACUUGUUUAUGGAUCAAUUAAAUCUCAGCUCCACUGUUUGCCUCAUCCACUGUUCAAACACUCUGGUUUGAAGUUCCUGAGUCAUUUUCCAAUGUCAGUCCGAAGCAACUGAAUUGACUCAAGUGACUGAUAUUCCAUGUACAGCAUUUAACUGGGAGCAAAGCUUGGUUUCCCUUCCAUGAUGGUGUGGCCAAAGUUAUGUUCAAAAAAAAAAAAAAUUCCCUCUUUUGCCCUAAUCUUGCCUUUUUCAGCAAGAUUCAUCUGAAAUUGCAUUUGCCAUCCCAAUGUUAUUUUAUGCGUGCAGAGCGCUGCUUUUUAAUUUCUCACUUUACACACUAGCAAGCAUUAGGUAACAUUGAAUCACACCCAUUUUACCAGAAAAGGGAAAUACUUUGGGAGCAUCCAGUUCUCAAGUUUGUAUAGGUACCAGAGUUCCCCUGGUGCUCCCACACUGAUCCAGUUUGAUUUUAUGGAAAAUAUGACUUUCACCACAUUUCACACUGAAUAGAUUUAAGACCACAGCCAAGCAGAAGAAUGAAGAGAUCCAGAGCAGAGAGUGGAGCACCCAACACUGGACAGGCAUUUCUAAAGCAAAGCCACCAUAAUUUUUCAGAAGUCUGAGGGUGGAGCCCAGGUGUUUGAAGUAUUUGUGUUGUGUCACAGAGCCCACUGUGACCCUUGGCACUUGGAUACAGUAGUUUACUGCCUUUAGAGUAUAAUUUAGAUACACUUCAGCAUGACAGAAGCCCAGCAAGUGCCCAGAAUAAACGUGUGCUUCCCUGUCCUUGUCUCCUUCAUGCUGAAUCAAGCACCACUGUAACAACUCACUAAAUCAAGCCUGCUGCAGAUCCCAGUUGAAUACUCAUCUUUUGGCGGAAUUUUCAAUGUUAAAUUUACUGUUCCAGAUCACUGUGCUGCUGUUUGAGAAGCAGUGCCAGCAUAAGAGGCUGGUGGGGAGGUCUAAGCAGUGCAAAGAGCCAGGGAAGAAUGCAUUUAUACUGAAGAGCAGCAAGAGUUAAAAUGCUGAACCCAAUUCCUACAUGAAUUUAUCAAAAUUCAGCUUCUGCUAAAUUAUUUAUAUAUUUUCUUUUUUUCCCUUCUUCCCAAAGAACCUUUUACAAACUACAGUUCAAACUUCUUGCCUGUCUCAUGGAUGGUAAGUUUCCCAGAAUUCAGAUUAGCCCUCUGACACUUUUCCAGUAAGUGAAGAUGAUCUUUGAAGCAGGGGACACAGAGCAUAAAAUUCCGUGUAAAGCUGGAUACUGAGUCGUGGAGAUACCAUUUCCUCAAUGACCUUCCUGUGCUGGAGAUGGAAAAGUUUUUAAUCCCUUUUCCCAAUCAGAAGUCUUCUACCUGUGCAUCCAACAACAAUUUUUCAUUGCAGCCAUAGGAAAAAGUUGGGACCUGUAAGUUCUUUUUAGUCUCAUUAGUUCACAUUUUUUAAAGCAUCAUUUCUUCCUUAAAAAAUUAGUUUAAAUCAUUUACUUGCAUUAAAAGAGCUCAGUAAAAGAGUAGAGGAAUAGAAAGUAAUUCUGACACCUGUAGUGCAGAUUGAGUUUAUUAGUUAAAUUAUUAUUUUUCCUCACUGCCCAGACAUCACAAGGAGGACAUAUCUAUCACUUUUUUUUUUUUUUUUUUUUUCCUGGCUUAAUAUCUCAUUUUAAUUCCAAGUUAUGUGUUCAACUACUACAAAAAUCCUUAUUCAUCUUGAAUUAUCUGGCCUGCAUAGUUGUGAGCCCUUGUUCCCCAGGUAUUCUCAGCAUGGAAAAUUGACAGAUAAAGGUGGUGGCAAGUCACAGGGUGACUGAUUUGUAUAAAUACAGCUACUGCUGCUGUGACAAGCCUGGGCAGAGUUUCAGUCCUGGCAACGUCUGUGUUCUCUUCAGCAAGAAACACUCGAGAACAAAUUCCAAAAUAAUGGCUUGUGGGUUUUCUCUUACUAAGAGAACAAUCAGAAAACAAAUAAUCCAAAAAAAGUUUCAUAUUUUCUGGUAUUGUUGAAAUGCAGAAUACUUAAAUAUUUUUCAAUCCCUCGUCUGCUCUGUCUUUGACUGUCUUCAUCAUGUACAUAGUAGAAAGAAUUAGAGGCAAAAAAAUGGCUCCCCUCUUUUCUAUACCAAAAGAUUUUUAUUCUUUUUUCAUUUCCCACCAACACCACUAUGUUUAAAGGCUGAGUUCUGCUGCUUCUACCCACCUUCUGUUUUUCUAGACAUCCAUGUAUUUUUACCAACCCCUGAGGUUUUAUGGCAAGUCUCGCCACUGGUUUUUUUAAGUCCCAGGUUCUAAGAUCAUUUGACCACCUUUAAUAAAAACAAAUCAAGCAACCAAAGAUGUGGACUAUCAUUGAACAUUCUUAUUCUUGCUGUAAAAAUAAUGCAUAAAACAAUUUUUAUUGCAUUUUAAUCUUAUUAAUAAUAUUUACACCAUGAUAGAAUCUCUGCCAAAUUGUCAUAAUACCUGUCUUAAACCCCAUGAAAUAGGUUUUACUCCCUUAAAAAAUUCUAAGGGGGACUAAGCUGAGACUGCAUAUGCUUGGUUUAUUCCAUAUUUCACAUAAACCCAAAGUUCUAUCUUUAAAAGAUGACUAAGAUCUUAAAAAGUGACCAAAGGUGAAACAGUAAAAAAGGAAGCACAAAAGAAUAUAGGGAUGAACUGUUCCUCCAUUUACCAAGAAAUUGUGAAACAACAAACAAAAAUCUGAAGAAACCAAAGGAAAGCAGCAUCAGAUGCUGCCUUGUGAAGAAUUCAAUGAGUAUCUUGGCAUGAGCUGUAGGACAAGGAAGAAGAAUCAGUGCAAACUGAAAAGCUGCAUUUAUUGUACCUUUUUGCACUACGUGGCUUAGUUAGUAGCCCUGCAAGUGGACAACUGAAAAGAUCGAUCAUAAAAUAUAAGAAUAUUGAGAUUGAAGGACAUUACUGAUCAUCCAGUCCUUGUGUGUGAAUGAAGGAUUAAUUCAUCUGAAAACAUCCUUGGCAGGUGUUUGCCUUAUGCAUUAUUUAAAAUUUCAGUGACGGAGAUUCCCAUCUUGGUAAACAAUAUUCUUCAGUGUUUGUUGUCCUUAAAAGUUUUUCUCUUUUUCUGACUUGAAUGUCUCUUGCUAAACUUACACUAAUUAUUUUUUGUUCUGCCAACAGUAAUAUAAAGAACAUUUUAUUCUUGUCUUUUGGAAACAAACUUGCCACAGCUGUGAAUGCAAGGGCAGUAUUCUCAGGAGAAAAAAAGCCCCAGACACAGUAUUUUCUAGGUUCCUGUUUUCCUCUUGAUCACUCCACCCAGUCCACAUCCAGAUUUUUUCUGCAUGGUCCAUGUGUCUUGAAAAGUUAUACUCCAUGCUGGGCUCAGGAUAUCUGAGGCCCUUCUAGUGUUGGGCAGAGUAGAAAGUUAUUUUCCCUGAGCCACUUGUUCGAGCAUCUCAGAAAUGACAGAGUUAUUCACCAGUAUCACCUUAUUUUUAUUUGGUGGAUUACUAAUGCCCUCUUUUGAAGACUUCUAUCUAAGCACUCAGUCUAAAACAUCUUCCUGGGUAUCUGUGCUGUGACAUUCAGUCAUCAUCCACCUGGAUGAUGUCUCCCAAAGCCAUCCUUCGAAUAGACUGCCUCCUCACAAGAGAGGCUUCAUCCAUUUCCCUUUGCUUUGCUCCUCGUUCCUUCUGCUUUUUAGACACAUUUUCAAUGAGCUUGCUGGCAUCACUGAGGGUUUUUUGUGUCCGCUCACCUGCACUUUUCUUUGUGCCUUCUCCCACACUUGCAUCCGUGGCUUUUAAGGGUUUGGCUUUCCCAGUUUCUUCCUGCUGCUCUUUUGUGUGUCUUAACCUGAAUCGGCGCCGAGAACCAUUUUGGCAGGGGUCGGGGGUGCUGUCAGGGCUGUUGGACUCUCCGUGCACGUCAGACACCUGGAGAGUGGGGAUUAAGGGCUUACAGAGUGUCUUGGGAGCCUCCUCAGCACCUGCCUGUUUAGUCGACUUAGAGGUUGUCUCUGAAGGCAAAAUAAUUUGGAUUUCUCCAAGGGGUUUGCUGCUUUUAGGGGGUAGGGGAUCAUCUUUGUUCUCCAGAUCAGCCUUCUCAUUCAGCUUUAUCUUUUGGAGGUUUGCCAGCUCCCCCUGAGCCAGGUUCUUUACCCGUUUCACAUGGGGUUCAUUCUGCAUGGCGUUGAUCACCAUCAGCUUCUGGGCAGCCAUUUGGGCUUCUCUCUGGAUGCUCAUAAUCUUUUUGAGCUGGGCUUCUUUUACUUCCACAGGGAUCUCCAGAGGGGCCAAUUUCACUGGUCUCUUCAGGGUAACGUUCUCUGUGCUACACAACUCAUUUGCAGGAUGCAGGCUGGGAGACAAAACUCCCUCCUUUUUCACCUUUUCUGGACAUAAUUUUUUAUCUCCCUGGCAUAGCUUCUCUGAACUCCUUGGAGGUGGAGGCUGGAGACCAAGGUUUUUAUGAUCACUUCCUGGCUUCCCUCCCGCCAGGAGGAGAACUGAAUUUUUCUCAGGCUGCAGGUUCACAAUUGUGACUUCACUGACAGUGCAGUUAUACUUGGGCUUUUCUUCAGCCAUUGGAGCACUCUGAAAGAAAAGAAAAUAGAUAUGGAGAUCACUCUCCUACAUUGUAUUAAUCCUCAGUUAGGUUUUUAUGCAAUGUUUGGAAGUUUGAAAAGAGUGAAAACUUGGUGUCUCUUGAAGUGUACUCCUGUUAACCUUAAAUCCUAAUCACUGUGCUCUUAAACUGCCUCGCCCCAGGGUAAUCCAAAAUAAAGCGCAAAUUUAGUCUCCAUAUCUAGAGAAUAAAUUAAUCUGACAGCUGAGGAAUCAGGGCUUGUCUCCUCCAUAUCUGUAACCAGUGCAACUUAAACAUCUCCAACCCUCUUCCUACUCUGUCCUAGAUAUUGACUCCUUUCUAAGCAGUGAGCAGUGUACACUGCACUCACUAAUUUAAUAGAAGUUUAGGAUCUCUAUAAAACAUGGAAAAUACCAGAGAAUAAAUGUUAAUUUGGGGAAGCUGCUAGCUGAGGUUCAGGCAUGGAUCCUUCUCUUUUCCUUUGAUAUUCUGUGAUCUGGAUUUUUGCAUAUACUGACAUGUGCUUUAUAGGGUAGAGUAAGUUCCUUUAUUUCCACCAAAGUUCUGCCUACUUUCACAAGGUAUUUUACAUAAAGAAGAGACCAACAAACCAAUAAUAAUUUUACUUGUGUUAAUGGAAAAUACCCUGAAAUGAGCCAAGAAGUUAUUCAGAAUACUGUGGAUAUUGUUCCGUUUCAAAAAUACUGUGUCUGGGGUAUUAACUAAAGACUCUGCUAAAUGGCAGAUGAGGCAAACCUGGAGUUAUUUAUUUGCCCUUGUUCAAAGAAAUUUUAUGGCUUGGCUGGGAAAUAAUAUUAGAAUCAAUAACCAAUGAUCACUAUCAUCAAUAAUAUAAGAAUCUCAUGGUACACAGGUCUUUGCUGUUCAACUCUCUAGUACUGCAUGGGCAGUGACAGGCCCAUAGGCAGCAUCAGGAGAUGGGGUCUGCUCUUGCUUCUGCCCAGACCAGGAAGUCCUCUUCCCUAAGGUAAUUUUUCAUUCCCACUCUGGUCUUUGUACACACUAUAGGUUUUAUGGGAGAGACAAAAAUAAUAUUCUUGGCUAUAUCUCAGUAUCUCAGAUUUCUAGCUCUUAUUAUCACAAAGAUAUGUUAUUAAAUUAUAGUAUUAACCUGGUUUUCCUCUGGCAAAUAAAGAACAUGAGCUCCUUUCAUCUCAUCUAAUUAAAUCUGUUUUGCUAAUUCCUGUUCACUGUUAUUGGUGGGAUUUUUUUUUAAGUGUCCAAGCUUAGUAUCACUGUAAAUAAAAAUGAUACUCAUCUCGCCCUUUCAGUUUCUUUCUGUUUUUCAGGAAAACAUGUAAGCCUGCCCAUGGCUCUGUAAAUGUGAAGUGAAAUAAAAUAACCAUAAAUAGGCUCUUGUACUAAAAUGCAGGCAUAUAAAGCAAUGGGACAGAAUUAAAGCUCUAAUGCAAAUGGAGAUAUGGGAGUGGAAAGGAAGAAAUGGCAAACAAUGUAGUAUCAAUGCAUUAUCAUUUUGGAAAAUAUUUUGAUUAAAAAGAUUUUUACUU